rnacentral:rRNA from 1 species
AACGAACGCUGGCGGCAGGCUUAACACAUGCAAGUCGAGCGCCCCGCAAGGGGAGCGGCAGACGGGUGAGUAACGCGUGGGAAUCUACCCAUCGCUACGGAAUCACUCAGGGAAACUUGUGCUAAUACCGGAUACGCCCUUCGGGGGAAAGAUUUGUCGGAGAUGGAUGAGCCCGCGUUGGAUUAGCUAGCUGGUGGGGGAAUGGCCUACCAAGGCGACGAUCCAUAGCUGGUCGGAGAGGAUGAUCAGCCACACUGGGACUGAGACACGGCCCAGACUCCUACGGGAGGCAGCAGUGGGGAAUAUUGGACAAUGGGCGAAAGCCUGAUCCAGCCAUGCCGCGUGAGUGAUGAAGGCCCUAGGGUUGUAAAGCUCUUUCACCGGUGAAGAUAAUGACGGUAACCGGAGAAGAAGCCCCGGCUAACUUCGUGCCAGCAGCCGCGGUAAAAC